rnacentral:rRNA from 1 species
AAACAUGGCCUUUUGAUUAAAAUUUAAGGUCUGGCCUGCUCACUGACUUGUUUUAAAGAGCCGCGGUAUUUUGACCGUGCAAAGGUAGCAUAAUCAUUAGUCUCUUAAUUAGAGGCUGGAAUGAAUGGUUUGAACGAGGAAUUGACUGUCUCUAUUUAAUAUCUAGAAUUUAACUUUUGAGUUAAAAGGCUUAAAUUUUUCUUUAGGACGAGAAGACCCUAUAGAGCUUAAUAUAUAAUUUUUAUAUAGUUUUUAGUUUGUUUUCCUAUAUUAAAUUUAAUAUAUUUUGUUGGGGUGACAUGAAGGAUAAUUAAACCCUUCAUUAUUAAAUCAUUGAUUUAUGUUAUUUUGAUCCAUAAUUUAUGAUCAUAAGAUUAAGUUACCUUAGGGAUAACAGCGUAAUUAUUUUAGAGAGCUCAAAUCGAUAAAGUAGAUUGCGACCUCGAUGUUGGAUAAGAAAAAUGCUAGUGCAGUAGCUUAGUAUUAGUCUGUUCAGCCUUAU